GUUUGCACGUGGCAAGAAGAGGAUUAACUUUUGGGAUUUUCAUUUGUUAAGAAGUUCUAGCGACGGAGAAAUGACAACUACUCUCCUUCCAUGCCCGUUCAUGAUUCUUUUCAUUCCUCUUCGGGGUCAGAUUGGAGAAUUUGAGUGAGGAUAGUUCUAGUUGUUUUGGUGAGUAGUUGAUUUGUCCACAUGUUGAAGUAUCUG
rnacentral:misc_RNA from 1 species